GAUGAAGAACGUAGCGAAAUGCGAUAAGUAAUGUGAAUUGCAGAAUUCAGUGAAUCAUCGAAUCUUUGAACGCACAUUGCGCCCGCCAGUAUUCUGGCGGGCAUGCCUGUUCGAGCGUCAUUUCAACCAUCAAGCCCCCGGCUUGUGUUGGGGACCUGCGGCUGCCACAGGCCCUGAAAACCAGUGGCGGGCUCGCUAGUCACUCCGAGCGUAGUAAUACAUCUCGCUCAGGGCGUGCUGCGGGUUCCGGCCGUUAAAAGCCUUAUUUUACCCAAGGUUGACCUCGGAUCAGGUAGGAAGACCCGCUGAACUUAAGCAUAUCAAUAAGCGGAGGA
rnacentral:misc_RNA from 1 species